rnacentral:lncRNA from 1 species
AUGGUCGCAUCAGUAGUAUAAUGAAUCAAGACGUGCCACAUGAUAGACACAUUGGCACGGGCUCCACGCGAAAGCUACACGGGCAAUCUGCGUGCCAGGGGGAUCCAAUUGCCUGUGUUCGCUCCCAAAUGCACGAAUGGCCCGGUUGAUUCCCUGAAUAGACCCCGAUUAGAUGGCUUUUGACACCCUACACAAACCCUGAUGGACGACCCAGUUCAAUUUCUUAAACAGACACAAUGGUACGACCAUCGUGCUUUCACGUCCCCUAAGAUGGACGGCUGAGAUUGAUCGAAGAGAGGUAUAUAAACAUUUCUUUUGUCGAAACCCUAACCCUAGCCGACACACACAAACCACAGCAGAAGAAAAGAGGCGGCAAAAAAGUGACCCAACCGUCGGAAGAACAUUAGUGCCAUCGUGUCGGAAUACUGAAAAUGCUCUGGUAGGCCAAAAAUUCUUCAUGUUCUCUCCGCUUCUCGGCCCUUAGCCGUACAACUUAUUUUCGUCGUAGGAGAAUCGAAAACAACCACAAAUCGAGAGGAGCUCGGCUG